rnacentral:rRNA from 1 species
CCUACGGGAGGCAGCAGUCGAGAAUCAUUCACAAUGGGGGAAACCCUGAUGGUGCGACGCCGCGUGGGGGAAUGAAGGUCUUCGGAUUGUAAACCCCUGUCAUGUGGGAGCAAAUUAAAAAGAUAGUACCACAAGAGGAAGAGACGGCUAACUCUGUGCCAGCAGCCGCGGUAAUACAGAGGUCUCAAGCGUUGUUCGGAAUCACUGGGCGUAAGGCGUGCGUAGGCUGUUUCGUAAGUCGUGUGUGAAAGGCGCGGGCUCAACCCGCGGACGGCACAUGAUACUGCGAGACUAGAGUAAUGGAGGGGGAACCGGAAUUCUCGGUGUAGCAGUGAAAUGCGUAGAUAUCGGGAGGAACACUCGUGGCGAAGGCGGGUUCCUGGACAUUAACUGACGCUGAGGCACGAAGGCCAGGGGAGCGAAAGGGAUUAGAUACCCGAGUAGUC